GUGAUGUACUCCUACGGGAGGCAGCAGUGGGGAAUAUUGCACAAUGGGGGAAACCCUGAUGCAGCCAUGCCGCGUGUGUGAAGAGGCCUUCGGGUUGUAAAGCACUUUCAGUAGGGAGGAAGGUAGUGUAGUUAACACCUGCAUUAUUUGACGUUACCUACAGAAGAAGCACCGGCUAACUCCGUGCCAGCAGCCGCGGUAAUACGGAGGGUGCGAGCGUUAAUCGGAAUUACUGGGCGUAAAGCGCAUGCAGGCGGCCUGUUAAGUCAGAUGUGAAAGCCCCGGGGCUUAACCUCGGAAUUGCAUUUGAAACUGGCAGGCUAGAGUCUUGUAGAGGGGGUAGAAUUUCAGGUGUAGCGGUGAAAUGCGUAGAGAUCUGAAGGAAUACCAGUGGCGAAGGCGGCCCCCUGGACAAAGACUGACGCUCAGAUCGCGAAAGCGUGGGGAGCAAACCAGGAUUAGAUACCCUCGGGAG
rnacentral:rRNA from 1 species